rnacentral:rRNA from 1 species
GACGGAGGGUGCAAGCGUUAUUCGGAUUUAUUGGGCGUAAAGGGAGUGUAGGCGGUCAGCCAAGUCUGAUGUGAAAGCCCGGGGCUUAACCUCGGAAGGGCGUUGGAAACUGGUUGACUUGAGUUCGGGAGAGGGAAGCGGAAUUCCGGGUGUAGAGGUGAAAUUCGUAGAUAUCCGGAGGAACACCGGUGGCGAAGGCGGCUUCCUGGACCGAAACUGACGCUGAGACUCGAAAGCGUGGGGAGCAAACAGG